UACGAAGGGGGCUAGCGUUGCUCGGAAUUACUGGGCGUAAAGGGCGCGUAGGCGGCGCCGUUAGUCAGGCGUGAAAUUCCUGGGCUUAACCUGGGGGCUGCGCUUGAUACAGCGGUGCUAGAGGACGGAAGAGGCUCGUGGAAUUCCCAGAGUAGAGGUGAAAUUCGUAGAUAUCAGGAGGAAUACCGGUGGCGAAGGCAAUCCCCUGGGCCUGCACUGACGCUCAUGCACGAAAGCGUGGGGAGCAAACAGG
rnacentral:rRNA from 1 species